rnacentral:rRNA from 1 species
UGAGGAAUAUUGGACAAUGGGCGAAAGCCUGAUCCAGCCAUGCCGCGUGAGUGAAGAAGGCCUUCGGGUUGUAAAGCUCUUUUAGUAGGGAAGAAAGGGUGGCAAUGAAUAAUCGUGAUUUAUGACGGUACCGACAGAAAAAGCGCCGGCUAACUACGUGCCAGCAGCCGCGGUAAUACGUAGGGGGCGAGCGUUAAUCGGAAUUACUGGGCGUAAAGGGUGCGCAGGCGGUCUUGCAAGUCAGAUGUGAAAGCCCCGGGCUCAACCUGGGAAUUGCGUUUGAAACUACAAGACUAGAGUGCAGCAGAGGGGAGUGGAAUUCCAUGUGUAGCAGUGAAAUGCGUAGAGAUGUGGAAGAACACCGAUGGCGAAGGCAGCUCCCUGGGUUGACACUGACGCUCAUGCACGAAAGCGUGGGGAGCAAACA